rnacentral:tRNA from 1 species
ACCUUAAUAGUUUAAAUAAAACACUGGUCUUGUAAAUCAGAAAUAAGAACUAAUCUUUUAAGGUA